rnacentral:misc_RNA from 1 species
GCUGCUUCAUUAUGUUGUCCAUCAAUGUACUGUUUAAAGGCUGGAUAUUCAUUCAUACCCAUAGAACCACUUGGAAGUUGAUUGUUUAUGGAACUAGAAUGAGGUGACUCCAUAUCAAAAGAUCCACCUCUAGCAUGAUUAGUCACCAUGGAAUUUAAUUGUGCAAUUUUUGCAUGUGAAGUUCUGAUCUUCAUCUCCAGUUGAUCGUGCAAGUGCUUCACAUUGUUGGUCAGAUUAGAGGCACUGGCCACACGAGGAAAGACACCAUAUUCAGCCAAUAAUCCAAUCAUGGAUGACAUAAAAAUAUAUUUGUCAUCCUCCGUAUCCUUUAACUCAUUCACCAAUCUUAAGUUUUCUUCAAGAUCACCUUUCCUCCGAGUCAGUUCAUUUGAGGCGGAUAUUAUUGCUUCGUUCUGCUUCUCAUCUAGUGCCAUGCGUAGUUCAGAAAAUUUCUUCUCAAGUCCAUAUUUCUCAUUCAAGAGCUGUGAUUCCCGAAUACUGGCAAGAGCAAUCUGUUCCCGAAGAUAUAGGAUUUCUUCUUGUUGUGCUUUCGCACGUGAAUACAGUUCCAUAACUUCAGGAUCCUGAGAGUCAUUGAUGGUGUCAUUUCCCUUCAAAAUCUUCGGUAAAGAACUCAUCCCAAAAUUUUGCCUGUUUGCCAAAUCAGAGCUUUGCCCUUGAACUCUUACAUCUUUUUGCCCAUUAAUAGAGUGAUACAGAGCCUUUUGGUCUUAU